UACGAGGGGGGCAAAUGUUGUUCGGAAUCACUGGGCGUAAAGGGAGCGUAGGCGGGUUUCUAAGUCAGGUGUUUAAUCCCGGGGCCCCAACCCCGGACAGGCACUUGAAACUGGGAAUCUUGAAUAGUGGAGAGGUCAGUGGAAUUGGGGGUGUAGCGGUGGAAUGCGUAGAGAUCCCCAAGAACACCAGUUGCGAAGGCGGCUGACUGGACACAUAUUGACGCUGAGGCUCGAAAGCAUGGGGAGCAAACAGGG
rnacentral:rRNA from 1 species